UCCUUCACAAAGGGACUGACUGAACUUUCAGGAAACAUUCCUUUACAAAGGGACUUACUGAUUCUUUCUGUUUGACAAGGGGUACGAUGACAUUCCCAAAGAGAUACCCAAUGCUGAUGCCAAAAAGCCAGAAGACUGAGAUGAUGAAGAAGAUGGUGAAUGGACAGCUCCAACCAUUCCAAAUCCUGAAUACAAGGGUCCAUGGAACCCAAAGCAAAUUAAAAACCCCAACUAGUAGGGAAAAUGGAAGGCUCCGAUGAUUGACAAUCCAGGUUCAGGCAGAUUUUACAUUUUUGAUUAAAUUGUCCUAGGUUCUUA